rnacentral:rRNA from 1 species
AACGAACGCUGGCGGCAUGCCUAACACAUGCAAGUCGAACGAUGGCUUCGGCCAUAGUGGCGGACGGGUGAGUAGCGCGUGGGAACCUGCCCCGAGGUACGGAAUAACCGCUGGAAACGGCGGCUAAUACCGUAUGAGCCCUGAGGGGGAAAGAUUUAUCGCCUUGGAGGGGCCCGCGUCCGAUUAGGUAGUUGGUGAGGUAAAGGCUCACCAAGCCUGCGAUCGGUAGCUGGUCUGAGAGGAUGAUCAGCCACACUGGGACUGAGACACGGCCCAGACUCCUACGGGAGGCAGCAGUGGGGAAUAUUGCGCAAUGGGCGAAAGCCUGACGCAGCGACGCCGCGUGGGUGAUGAAGGCCUUC